AGCAGGCUAGAAUCUGAUGUCUGACGUAUCGGUUUUAUUUUAAAAAACCGGUGAUAACACAUCAGCAUCAUGUCAAACUAUGCUUGUAUAUAGUAUGUACGUAAAGACAUUAUAGUAUCGUGGCGCAACCGUUUGCUUCCUUUUAUGAAAUUAAAUACCAGAUUGAUGUUGGUUGCUACCAUUCGUUAAAGAGUGUUUGUGUCUUUGGACAUGUACGUAACCUAAAGUGCUUGUGUGUUUUUAUGUGGUCAAUAUAAUAGGGUGGGGGAAGAUGGGACACUGUCAGGAGCGGAUUUUAAAAAUUAUGAAUGUAUUGUUUUCGCUUAAGGUGUUUGACACUUUUUUUGCUAUCGAGCAAACAGGCUCGGACCGAUUACAUUGGUGUCUCCCCAUAUUAAUGUUAGUUGUAUUUACCGAUGAUGAUGAAAAGUUUAUUUUAACUAAAGAAUGUAUAUUGGUAUAUUGUGAUCAACAUAAAAUUUCUACCCAUUUGUAACUCAUAAAUUAAGCAAUAACAGUCUCCUAAAUAAAAGUUGCUUGCGGAUUGUGCUACUACGUCAGUAUAAAAACGAUGUUGUUUUAUUUUGUGAUUCCUAAAUGAGAAUUCUAUUUUUCUCGGCGUGUUAAAACAAUUGUCCAAUCUAUACGAUCCACAAGUCUUUUUGUUGCCCCCGACAAGAACAAAGCUGUCAUCUUUUCAGGUUCCAGAAAUAAGUAGAGAUACGACAUCAACAACAAGCGAAGAUUCCAACCACGCCCAGGAGGCUGCUUCGCUUGUGGUCGUUGAGGUUUUUUUACCAGGACCUCUCGCCAGUAGCCCUAGUUAUACCUGGACCCUGAUCUUCUGGGUUAGAGGAUCAAGGCACGCUAGGUAGCGAUCGACGCCACUCAACGGUUUUCGAAACGCGAAUAGCGACCACAAACAUACGCACAAUACACACAACCAAGAACUGCAGCCUGGACUGACCGUCUUAUAAACUGAACUUACACCUCCCAACAUGCCAUCGUUAUACGUGGCUUACCGCGUUAAGAGGCGUACUAUGAGAAAUUGGACACCGGACACAAGAAAUUGGACACGACACACACUUCUGAUCUGGCAUUGGCUGAUCCAAUAUGAUUUAAGAUAAAAAUAUAAAAGGGGUGAGCUGUAGCACCUAACCAUUUGCACCACAUUUUGUUUUUUUGUAUGUAUAUGUGAUUAGUAUGAAUAAAGUGUAGAACUGUAAAUUCUGAGUCACCAUGGCUGGACAGGCUAACUAUAAAAAACAAUACUCAGAUAAAUAAGAAAAGACCCAAUAGUCAGGUAAAUGAGACCCAAUAUAGUCAGGUGAAUGAGACCCAAUAGUCGGACAGGCUCCCAGGGUUACUGCCACAUCAUUGGAGUAGAGGUUGCAUAGAGAUUACGAACACGCAUAACAACUGUACGAAAUUAAUUCUCCUUCAUUGGCAAUUUUGUAGAAAAAAAAAGACAAAAAUUACGACGAAAAAGGCAAAAAUUACCACGUAAACAAAAAUGGAGCUCCGCGCAACGUAAAAUUAAGAAAAUCGCCAGCGUG